CCGAUGAGGUGGAAACGGACAGAGCUGGCGUAUCUGGCCUGCAUUCAGCCGCCGCGCGUCGGGCCCCGGUUUGCCGCACUCCAGAUUGGGAAGGUGGCUGGGCUGCUGGCGUGUCGGUGGUGCAUUUGCAGGUGGAGUGCGCCGAGGCGCUCGGCUCAGCGGCAUGAGCUCGGCUUUGAGGCCAGUCGCGCAAGCGGUCUGGUACCCGGGUCGGGGGAGUGUUGUUUGGGCUGAGUGUUCGCUUGGGCACUGGUUUCGAGCCCGGGUGGGUGCCGAGCUGGCGGUGGCCGGCGGUCGCGUGCGACACGUGUCUUCAGUCAGUUCGGUCCUGCUCGAGCUCUCGCGUGUCCGGCCUCGGUGUAAAAGCCGGUCAUCUGUCCGACCCGUCUUGAAACACGGACCAAGGAGUUUAGCGUGUGCGCGAGUCAUUGGGCGUUGAAAACCCAAAGGCGCAAUGAAAGUGAAGGUCUGCCUUGUGCAGCUGAUGUGUGAUCCUGGGCGCCGCGGUGCCCGGGCGCAACAUAGUCCCGUCCCGACUGCAUGCAGUGGGGCGGAGACAGAGCGUACGCGCUGAG
rnacentral:rRNA from 1 species